CUGUAGGGCUCAGCAAACCCUAGAUUCUCCUUCCUCUUCUCGCCCCUCCAAGAGUUCAAGUUUUUUUGGCACCCGGGUCUCACUUAAGCGGGGGCGUAAUCAGCUCAGGCGCAUCCCUUGCCGUUCCGUGCGGAUUCGGUCGCCUGUCUUGAAGCGGAGACUUGUUGUAAANCCACACCAGAUUCAGCAUUGGAAUUGCCAUUAACUGCAGAGAAUGUUGACAGAGUAUUGGAUGAAGUUCGACCAUAUCUCAUUGCAGAUGGGGGUAAUGUCGCAUUACAUGAGAUUGAUGGUAAUGUUGUGCGGUUGAAGCUACAAGGAGCCUGUGGCUCCUGUCCAAGUUCUGUUAUGACAAUGAAGAUGGGUAUUGAGCGUCGCUUAAUGGAAAAGAUUCCUGAAAUAGUUGCAGUUGAACCAAUUGCAGAUGAAGAAACUGGGCUUGAGCUGAAUGAAGAAAAUAUAGAGAAGGUGCUUGA
rnacentral:misc_RNA from 1 species